AUGGCUGAAGGGGCAAGGUUUCAUGGCAUGGUUGGCGGUGGCGGCAAGGGGAUGCAAGAGAACGAGUUCAAUGGCUUCUUCAGCAUGCCCUACUAUCAGAAAAUUGGGGAGGGCUCCCACAUGUCUGUCGACAGCACUGACAACUACAACCUCGCCGGUGGCUCCGUUACCAUGUCUGUGGACAACAGCAGUGUGGGCUCGAACGAGUCCCGCACCGUCAUACUUAAGCACCCGGGCCUCCGUGAUGCCCCAACUGCAAGCUAUUCGGUUGGCAACAGUGUCUUUCGUCCCAACCGUGUGGCUGCGCACACCCUAAAUGAAGAUGCAUUGGCCAGGGUUCUGAUGGACCCAAAUCAUCCAACAGAGAUACUUAGCAAGUACCAGCAGUGGGCCAUUGAUCUGGGGAGGUUGGAUAUGGGGGUUCCCUUUGCACAGGGAGCCUUUGGGAAGCUGUACCGGGGUACCUACAUUGGAGAAGAUGUUGCCAUUAAGCUGCUGGAGAAGCCUGAAAAUGAUAUCGAGAGAGCACAAUCGUUGGAACAGCAGUUUGUCCAAGAAGUUAUGAUGUUAUCUACCCUAAGGCACCCAAAUAUAGUAAGAUUUAUAGGGGCUUGCAGGAAGUCAAUUGUGUGGUGCAUUAUUACUGAGUAUGCAAAAGGUGGCUCAGUCAGGCAGUUCCUGGCAAAAAGGCAGAACAAGUCGGUACCUUUGAGGCUGGCUGUCAAACAAGCAUUGGAUGUUGCGAGGGGAAUGGCAUAUGUGCAUGCUUUGGGAUUUAUCCACAGGGACCUGAAGUCGGAUAAUCUUCUAAUUGCAGCAGACAGAUCCAUUAAGAUUGCUGACUUUGGAGUUGCUCGAAUUGAAGUGAAAACAGAGGGGAUGACACCAGAGACAGGAACCUACCGCUGGAUGGCACCGGAAAUGAUCCAGCACAGGCCUUAUGAUCAUAAGGUUGAUGUCUACAGCUUUGGGAUUGUCUUGUGGGAGCUUAUAACUGGCAUGCUUCCUUUCACAAACAUGACAGCUGUUCAGGCGGCUUUUGCUGUUGUAAAUAAGGGUGCUCGUCCAGCAAUCCCACAUGACUGCCUGCCUUCCCUAACCCACAUCAUGACGCGCUGUUGGGAUGCAAACGCUGAAGUUCGCCCACCAUUCACCGAGAUCGUCUGCAUGCUUGAGAACGCCGAGAUGGAGGUUGUGAGCCAUGUCCGUAAAGCACGCUUCCGCUGCUGCGUUGCUGAACCCAUGACCACCGACUGA
rnacentral:rRNA from 1 species